GGGACUGUAGUUCAGUGGGAGAAUACUUGUCUGGCAGACAAGGGCGUAAGCUUAUCUCUCAUCAGCCCUU
rnacentral:tRNA from 1 species